CGCCUGUGCUGACUGGGUAAGUGGAAAUGUCUUUUAGCUAGUAUGUUUUCUUCGUAGGAAAGCGUAAUCCAGUGAGCUUCAGGUAGAAAUACGCUUUCACUUCUCUGAAAGCGUACUCUGUUUCUACUACGGCUUGAAAUACGCUUCUCCGUUCUAAAAACGUAUUUUCUGAAGUGCGCCUUCUGUUUUUCUGCCUAAGCCCAGCCUGAAAAUCUUUUUAUUACAGAUGGGUCCCUGGCAGAAACCCUUCACAACCUUUUGCUCGAGACUCCAAAUGAGGUGAAUCCAACGCCCAUUUCUUUGUCUUGUCGAUCCCGUUCUGUUGGUCACACUUUCUCUAUGGUUUGACAUUCUGAAAAUGACCUUUUUGCCCUUGCACGUAAACAGCCCCCUCCGAGAGAGGACUGUUUCCGACGAAUCUUUCCACGGCUUCACCGCACUUCACCCCGGUGCCUUCUUCAUCCCCAGGCAAGCCACAAUACCCACUUGCAUGAUAGUCAUGCAGUAGCCAUGGUUUUCAACUUGAAUGUUUAAUAGAUGUUUGCUUGUUUAAAAUAUGGUUAUCAUUAUUUUGGUGAUGGUUAGAGUUCCAUGUUCACCUUCAUGCUAUGUUGUUAUGCACUUGGUUACCAUGUAUUCUUGCUAGCGUUGCUUUGUAUACUUAUGCUUGCUAGUAGUACAUGUUGAUGUCAGUGAUGGUCCUCGGUGCAUGACUGUCGUCUGCUCUAAGUACCAUUGUUAUGCAUGUUCCAUUGCAUCCAGUUGGUUCAAUGCUUGCAUGGUAGCAUUGUUGAUAGGUUCUUGCAUGCUAUUUAUUGUUAAUGCUAGUGGUUAUGCUAUGUUUCUGAGUAUUGUUAUACUUGUGAUGUUCAUGCUAGUCAGUAUGCCAUGCUCAGUCGGAUAGAUGCUUUGUUGUUGUUGAUAUGGUAAGAAGUAAUGUUGCACAUCCAUGCUUGUGUUGAUAUCAUGUUCAUGCAUUGUAGUUGCAUCAUGUUAUUUUCAUAUGACUCGGCUUGUUGCAUUCAAGUUUAACCGGACUUAAUUGAACUUGAACAACUAUUGGCUGAGUCAUGGUGCCACCAUAUCGAGCUGACAAGUGCAACCACAUUUGCCUUUGUAUGGGGAGGCCCUAAUGGGUCUAUUGUCAUGCCUCUUGCCGGUGCUCCAACUAGGGAAGGUUAUGGGCGCGCGCUACCCUAAUCAGGUAGGCGGACAUAAGCCUUGUGCGCCCGUAGUUGUUAUAGCCGAAUGGUCCCCGUUUGGGACCAUUUAUUUGUUUGCCACGACGGUGGCCGUUGGUGCCUUUGGUAGGCACGAGGCCACCCAUGACAUAGCCCAAAGGGGAGUUGGUCGAAGUGGCCAGGAGAGUGUCAUGGCAGUAGAUCAGUUUUGUCGGAACGUCGUUGGUCCACCCGAAUGGGGGUGCGAGGCCAUGGGUUCUGUGGUGUGGGUAAAGUGUGCUACCUCUGCAGAGAGAGAGAGAGAGAGAGAGAGAGAGAGAGAGAGAGAGAGAGAGAGAGAGAGAGAGAGAGAGAGAGAGAGAGUUAAAUCUAUCGAUAGCCGCGCACGCAGAUAAGGACCCAGUUCGUAGUUGGUCACACUAUGGGUCAACAGUAAUAAUAAUGAUGUGCUUAAUAACAACCCCGGUUCGAUGAUGAAAGAAGUUGGUUGAUCUUUAUGUGAUCGUGAGAGGAUCACUGUGGUAUUGAGGAUACCGAGUUGUUGGAUAUCCGUAAUGUUGUGCGAGAAUCAUGGGUAAAGAUCAAGCUCCUUGUGGUCAUGUAAUGAUUACUACGGUAUUGUUUAUACCAAGCUUGAUUGGAUCCUAAGAUUAUCAUGUGAUGUCCGAUGUUGGUAAGUGAUGCAUGUGCGGGUUACGAGGUAACCCUGAGAAGAGUAAGUUGGUGCAUUAUUGUGCCAUCAUGUUGCAUGCUAGUAUCGUCAUAUUCAUAUGUUCAUGACAUACUCAUAUUGUUCUAGUGUAUCAUGUUCAUGUUGUUCAUGCCAUGUUGUUCUGAUGAUAUCAUGUUAAUCAUUGUUAACCUGUAAUUGCCAUGCUGUUGUCGGUCUUGAAUGCUUCUGGUUGUUGUGAGCUUGCAAGUACAUUCAAUGUACUGACAUGGCGUGUCAUGCCAGUUUGCAGGUCAUGCCGGAUUUGAUUGCUUGUUUGCCGUGGAUGCCGUGUUUGCGAGCUAGGAUAAGCAUUCCAUUCAUAUUCCCUGCGGAGUGGAGUUCACCACCAUCACUGUUGUUCCGCUGCUAGAAGUUAUUCCGUUGCUUCGAGUUGUUCUGCUGCUUGCAUAGAGCAACAGUGGCAGGCGUAGUGUCGCCGUGCCGAUGUAAGUCCCCGUUAUAUCGGAACCCCUUGUACCCAAAUAGAUUGUGAUAAAAGAGCUAGUUUGUUCUAUGCUAAGCAGUGUCGUAUUCCAGAAGGCUUCAUC
rnacentral:lncRNA from 1 species